rnacentral:rRNA from 1 species
GAAAGUAGGAAAGGGCGCAUGGCGGAUGCCUUGGCUCACACUGGCGAAGAAGGACGUGAUAAGCUGCGAAAAGCUCCGGGGAGAUGCAAAUAAUCCUUGAUCCGGAGAUGUCCGAAUGGGAGAACCCAGACAGCGGAAGACUGUCUGCCGGAAGCUUUACGCUUCCGGCGCCAACCCGGGGAACUGAAACAUCUUAGUACCCGGAGGAAGAGAAAAUAAACAAUGAUUCCCCAAGUAGUGGCGAGCGAACGGGGAAGAGCCCAAACCGCGUGCGUAGCAAUGCGCGUGCGGUGUAGUAGGACCACGAUGUCAUAUGCAUCAGGGGAGCCGGACCGGCCGGACAGCCGGACCACAGAGGGUGAUAGUCCCGUAGGCGAAUCCCGGUGCAGUGUAGUGGUAUCCUGAGUAGCGCGGAGCACGAGAAAUUCUGCGUGAAUCUGCCGGGACCAUCCGGUAAGGCUAAAUACAGUGUGAGACCGAUAGUGAACCAGUACUGUGAAGGAAAGGUGAAAAGCACCCCGAUCAAGGGGAGUGAAAGAGUUCCUGAAACCAUGCGCCUACAAGCGGUCGGAGCCGUGCGAGCGGUGACGGCGUGCCUUUUGCAUAAUGAACCUACGAGUUGCCGUCUCCGGCAAGGUUAACCGGUUUAUCCGGGGAGCCGCAGUGAAAGCGAGCCUGAACAGGGCGCAGAGUCGGAGGAGGCAGACGCGAAACCAAGUGAUCUACACUUGUCCAGGAUGAAGUGCCGGUAACACGGUAUGGAGGUCCGAACGAAUAAGCGUUGAAAAGCUUCUCGAUGAGAUGAGUGUAGGAGUGAAAGGCCAAUCAAACUUGGAGAUAGCUCGUACUCCCCGAAAGGCAUUUAGGUGCCGCGUGUAUUGAUCCGCAUGAGAGGUAGAGCGACCGAUAGGUCAAGAGGGCUUCACCGCCUAUCGAGACCUGACGAACUCCGAAUGCUCAUGAGUAGCAGAUAUGCAGUAAGGGGGCGGGUGCUAAGGUCCGUCCCCGAGAGGAGAAGAAUCCGGACCGUCGUCUAAGGUCCCGAAAUUCCGGCUAAGUUAGUCUAACGAAGUGUGGUCCCUGUGACAGCUAGGAUGUUGGCUUGGAAGCAGCCAUUCAUUCAAAGAGUGCGUAACAGCUCACUAGUCGAGGGUCCGUGCAUGGAUAAUAAUCGGGUAUAAGCCGGAUACCGAAGUCACGGGAUAGAAUUAAAGAAAGUAUCGGUAGGGGAGCAUUCCAGCGGCGUUGAAUACGUUCCGGAAGGAGCGUUGGAGCUUCUGGAAAAGCAAAUGUAGGUAUAAGUAACGAUUAGAAGGGUGAGAACCCCUUCCGCCAAAAGUCUAAGGGUUCCCGGGCAAUGCCAGUCAUCCCGGGGUCAGUCAGGUCCUAAGCCGAAUCCGAAAGGAGGAGGCGAUGGCAGAAACGGUCAACAUUCCGUUACUGCCCCAGUGAGCGAAGCGUAGACGGAGGAGUGAAACGGCCGCGGAGUUACGGAAUACUCCGUUGAAGGGUGUAGGUUAUGAGGAAUCCAGGCAAAUCCGGAUACCGAGCCGAACCUGAAAGUAUGGAAGUCCCUCCGGGGGCAUCCAAUAGCGCCGGUAAGCAGACUCCCGGGAAAAUGCGCUAAGCAUAUUGCUGGGGCACCUGUACCGCAAACCGACACAGGUAGACGGGUAGAAUAUACUGAGGCGUUGAGAGAUUCAUGGUUAAGGAACUAGGCAAACUGACCCUGUAACUUCGGGAAAAAGGGUCCUCUCCUCCGGGAGAGGCGCAGUGGAUAGGUCCAGGCAACUGUUUAACAAAAACACAGGGCUGUGCGAAUUCGAAAGAAGAAGUAUACAGCCUGACACCUGCCCGGUGCCGGAAGGUUAAGAGGAGUCGUCACUCCGCAAGGAGGAAGCGUCGAAUUGAAGCCCCGGUAAACGGCGGCCGUAACUAUAACGGUCCUAAGGUAGCGAAAUUCCUUGUCGGGUAAGUUCCGACCUGCACGAAUGGUGUAACGAUCUGGGCACUGUCUCAACCGUGAGCUCGGUGAAAUUGUAGUAUCGGUGAAGAUGCCGAUUACCCGCGAUGGGACGAAAAGACCCCGUGAACCUUUACUAUAGCUUAGCAUUGAUCCCGGUCAUCCGAUGUGUAGGAUAGGCCGGAGGCUGUGAUGGUGCGGCGCCAGCCGUACCGGAGCCACCGUUGAAAUACGGCCCUUUGGCUGUCUGGGGUCUAACGCGCAGAAAGCGCGGACAUUGCUUGGUGGGUAGUUUGACUGGGGUGGUCGCCUCCAAAAGCGUAACGGAGGCUU